UUGGUUAUUAGAAAAGCACAAACAUUCACAUUUCCAUAACAUUCCAUCCUCUUAUCACUUAUCACGUGUGAUGAUAAUCAUUACAUUUUAAUGUAAGCAUUUAGAUUAUAGCUUCUAUAUCAUAAUAUUCUAUACUCAUAUUAAAGUUAGGGAAAUCAAUGCAGAAAAAAACAGGCACUUCAUAAUUUCAAGCCCUUCAUUUUGGGUUGAUCAAUCUAAUUAAUGGUAAUACAAUUUUUUUAUUUUACCUUUAUUUAACUAGGCAAGUCAGUUAAGAACAAAUUCUUAUUUACAACGAAUGCCUAGGAACAGUGGGUUAACUGCCUUGUUUAGGGGUAGAAUUAUAUAUUUUUUUAACCUUGUCAGCUCUGGGAUUCGAUCUAGCAACCUUUCAAACAGGGAUUCCAACCAAGUUGCAGUCGUCCACUCUGGUUGUGGGGAAUUAUUCUUAGCAACAGCGGCAAUGUAUUCGGCGAGAUCAGUCAUAUUAGAAGAGUGAUCUGGGACAAAGGUACAACAUUCAUCGCCAUUGUUUGCACAAGUGUCCCCUUUACCUGCCAAAAGAUAGUUAAGAACCUCUCUGUUUUGCAGAGCCAAUUUACGCAAUUCUUUUAGCAUUGCUAAUUUUCUCUAUAUCUCUAGAGAUCUCCCGAAUUUGGCCUAGAGCACAUUCAUAUUAACUUUCACAGAGAAGAGAGAGAACACAUGUUAUAACAGUUUCACACCAACCUUGAUAAGAAUGGGAUUGGGGCAAGGUUAGCCCAAGCUACAAUCUAGUGGCUCUCCUCACAAUUUAGGGGCAUAGCUCUGUCUCUAGAAGCCUCUCCUUUCCAUGUCAUAAUUAUAAAUAUUGAUAAAUUAUCCAACCCAAAUUUAGAAUGACAGUCCUUAGUGCUUCACGUUGGUUCUAUCACGUAAAUUUAAGACCCUCAUCAAUAAAUCAAACAGAGUUUUAACGACUAACAAAUAUUAAUUAACAGGUGGGUUGUGUGUUGGUGCUGGCAUGUAUAUAGUAAAAAUCGUAGGGUAAAAACAAACAAAAUGGCCAGGCCUUACUUAAUUUGGGAGCUCCCUUAACAGCUGGAUCCGGGUACCUUUAACUGCUCUCCUAAGGCACUUGCCUUGGGCAUCCUUUCAAAGGGAGAGAUACAGAAUCAUUGAUAAACAUAGAAAAAAAACUUGAUAUACACAUCAGAUGAUACAGUGUCCCGUCAAGCUGAAUAGGCACCUUCUAAAGUAAACAAAGCCAGAGUCCCUCUCUUGUAAUCAUUGUCAUUUCGACCUGUUGCGUUGACAUACAAUUCUGUACAAACUAUCCCUGGGACAUAAACUUAGUCUCAAUAUAAAACCUGUUGUUUAACAAAUCUGCUAGGACCUUCAAAAAGUUGGUGCUGGCUUAUCAGCUCAAUAUUCGGUACUAAAAACAUUUACUUGGAUCUACUUCUUCUGGACACAGUUCCACGUAAUGGAAACAUAUUGUUGUUUUAGAUGACAUUACCUUCUUACUUUAAUCCCUGGUGCUACCCAUACUAUAGAAUUGAGUAAUACAUUGUCAAAAACGUGUCUUAUUCAAUUAUUCAUACCUCUGUCCCAAAUUUCCCAUCGUGUCUUGUACAGCCUGUUUGAAUUCAGUGUGUACUGGCAGCUAUUGUUCCACAGGAAGCUGAUCUCUAACCCAAACAACAGAUUACUUAAACACAAGAGCAAUGGACCAGGCCUUGAAGAGUGAGCCUGGUCCAAUGCUCAAUCCCUUUGUCUUACUACUUGAAAUUACUCAGAUAUUAUGUUAUUGGAGUGCUAUCUGAAAGCCAAUUACUAUUCACUUUGUUACUUUCACUAGUCUCCAUAUCUGUUUCCUUCUUUCCCAAUAGGAAGACCUUCUCAAUCACUUUGUUAAUACACACAGAUCACUCUCAAACAACAUUCUGUUUUCUCCCCUAUUGCAAGGUUUAAAACAAAACAAACAUGAUAACCUUCUCCAUAUUGGAAGGCAUUGAUUUCAUUUUAGUCUAACCUAACAAUGUUAGUCUAUAUAUUUAUUUCAAUUUUCUGUUGGAUAUUCACUUUCUGCUUCACACUUAUUAAAUGUCUAUUUUAAGCUUCAUAUGUAAUAUGCCAAAUGUAUAAAAUACAUUGGUCAAUUUAGAAGGGGAGAGAUAGGCAGUGCUAGCCUAGUUAUAAUAACUGUUUAUCAGUUCACUGUCAUUGGAAUGUUCUAUCCAUAAGGUUUCUGGCACUUGAGACAAAAUAGACUGGGAGGCAGUGUCAGACCCCCAGUCAUCCUGGGGGACUGGUUCAAUUUGCCUGCUUACUCAUUGGUUUAAUAUCUCAUCGUUUGGGAUAUCAACAAAAACUCCAUCAGAGGUACAAUCAAUUGUAGCCUUAAGUUUAGUUAACAGAAAAUCAUGUUCAACAUUCAUUGGUUCUAUUUAUAGUUUAAAUUGUUAGGGGUAAGUCAAGUCCCAUACAAUGCUUUAACCUUAUCAUACCUCAGAUUAUCCAUAAAGGGAUCACUCUGAACAUUUCUCAUAAUACCUUUGACACAACUUACAUAGUCUACAUGUGGGUGUGCAAAUUGUAUAUCUUUUUUUUUCUAUUGUUACAUCUCUAGUAACCCAUUAUGCUCAAUAUUAUGUUACUUUAUCUCUAAAGUUUCAAUCUCUUAUUAUCCAAAUGUCAAUCAGCUAUUUAUCCAUAUUUCUUAAUAUCCACAUUUCAAUCAAUCUUAUUAUUCAAAUUUCAAUCAGCUUAGUUUGUCAUAUCUCACAAUCACGCAACUUUCACAUCGACUUUCACUUUCACAAAAUCACUCCCUAAAAACAAAAUCCUAUGGAACAAUCCUUGGAUUGCUUUUCAGAAUGCACAUUGGUCCACAUGGACAACUAGGUGAAGGAUGUUUUGAACUAACAAAAAGAGUUCUACAAGCAGUUGUUACAAAAAUAACAAAAUAGCUUGAAGUGUUUUGUCCAAAUAUAGGUGGAGUCAACUAAUAAAAGAAUGUAUGACCUGACCAGAGAGGUCCAGGACCUGAAGAACAGUUUGCAGUUCUCCCAGUGUCUGCUUGAUGAGUUUAAACAGGAGAACGGCAAGAUGACAGCAAUCUGUAAAUCAUUGAGAGAGGACAUCAAUUCUGUGUAUGAAUCCAUGAUAACAAUGACGGAUAAAUCAAAUUAUCUCGAGGGACAAUCAAGACGGAACAACAUGGUUGUGGACGGAAUUGCAGAAUCUCCACGAGACAUGGAGGGAGUCUGAUGACAAAGUGAGGGAAGUGAUCUCAGAGAAAUUGAAGAUGGACCAGCGGAAGAUUGAGGUGGAGCGCACCAACAGAACUGGAAAUCCCACCACCGGUCCAGGUGACAUGCCCAGGCCGAGGUUGCUGUUCUGGAAGGUAGCUGUUCUAGAAAGAGCCAAGAACUUGAGAGGAAUGUACAUCUUCCUCAACAAGGACUAUCCUGAAGCUGUGCGCCAGAAGAGAAAAUACCUUACCCCAGCCAUGAAAGCUGCCAGAGCGAGUGUGGACAUUGCUUACAUCCGCUAUGACAGGCUCAUUGUCCACCCUCCCUCCUAAAAAUGCCUGGAAGGGAUGAGAGAACCAAGACUAUGGAUUCAUAGCUUUAACCUCACAGCACACACCACACUUUCGAACACCAACUGAUUAAUGGAUUGCAGAAUGUAUAUUUUUGUCUCUUGCUUUCUCUGAUAAGCUACCCAGGAAAGGGCUGAAAAUAGCCCAUAUUAAUAUAUGUAGCCUAAGAAAUAAGGUUAAUGAAAUCAAUAACUUGCUGACAUCAGAUAACAUUCAUCUAUUAGCCAUUUCUGAGACUCACUUAGAUAAUUAAUUUGAUGAUACAAUACAAGGAUAUAACAUCUAUAGAAGAGGCAGAAAUGCUUAUGGGAAGUGUUGCUGUAUAUAUUCAGAGCCAUAUCCCUGUAAUGCUUAGAGAAGCUCAUAUGUCAAGUGUUAUUGAAGUGUUGUGGUUUCAGGUUCACUUGGCCCAUCUAAAGCCUUUUCUUUUGGGGUGUUGCUAUAGGCCAACAAGUGCUAACAGUCAGUAUCUAAAUAAUAUGUGUGAAAUGCUUGAUAGUGUAUGUGAGGUAAACAGAGAGGUCUACUUUCUUGGGGACCUGAAUAUUGACUGGUUUUCAUCAAGCUGUCCGCUCAAGAGGAACCUUCUUACUGUAACCAGUGCCUGUAAUCUGGUUCAGGUUAUUAGUCAACCUACCAGGGUGUUUACCAACACUACAGGAACAAGAUCAUCCACAUGUAUCGAUCACAUUUUUAGAACUUUGUUCUAAAGCUGUAUCCAUACCCAUUGGAUGCAGUGAUCACAAUAUUGUGGCUAUAUCCAGGAAAGCCUAAGUUCCAAAAACUGUGCCUAAAAUUGUGUAUAAGGGAUCAUACAAAAGAUUUUGCUGUAGAUGAUGUAAAAAAUAUUUGUUGGCAAGUCAGUUAAGAACAAGUUCUUAUUUACAAUGAUGGCCUACAAAGGAACAGUGCUUUGUUCAGGGACAGGAUGACAGAUUUUUAAACCUUGUCAGCUCAGUGAUUCGAUCCAGCAACCUUUAAUUUACUGGCCCAACACUCUAACCACUAGGCUACAUAUCGCCCUAAAAUGAAUAAGGAGCAUCCAGAUGCUGCACUUCAUGAAUUUAUGAAAUAGCUUUUUCCAAUUAUUGAUAAACAUGCACCUGUUAAGAAGCUGACUGUUUGAACUGUUCAGGCUCAGUGGAUUGAUGAGGAAUCGAAAAACGUUACGGUUGAAAGAGAUGAGGCAAAAGGAGUGGCUAAUAAGUCUGGCUGCACAUCUGAUCCUCAUGUAGCUACCCUGCACACCAGCUGCCAAACCUUCAAUCUGCACUACAGCUAAAGUACACAGAACACUACAGCUUCCUCUUUCUAUGUAUAUUUGGGUGGACACUUGACUUUCUUAUCACCCCUUGCAACAUUUCUCCUUCACCCUGCUUGAGUUAGUGGGUUGGUUUAUCUAUCAAUCUAUCAAAGUCUCUCUGUCACUCUCUCUCUCUGUCUUUCUCUCUCUGUCUCAGUACAUUGUUGUAAUGAUGUGCAAACAGUUAAAGUACGAAAGGGAAAAUAAAUAAACAUAAAUAUAAGUUGUAUUUACAAUGGUGUUUGUUCUUCACUGUUUGCCCUUUUCUUGUGGCAACGGGUCACACAUCUUGCUGAUGUGAUGGCACUCUGUGGUAUUUCACCCAAUAGAUAUGGGAGUUUAUCAAAAUUGUAUUUGUUUUCGAAUUCUUUGUGGAUCUGUGUAAUCUGAGGGAAAUACGUGUCUCUAAUAUGGUCACACAUUCGGCAGGAGGUUCUCUCUCUCUCUCUCUCUGUCUCUCUGUGUUUCUCUCUCUCCGCCCACAUUAUAUCCCCUCUCGCUCUAUUUCUUACACGUCUAUCUUUAAGUUUCUGUAUCCCCAUCUCUUGUUAAAAAAGUGCCACCACUAACACCUGCCUCGUUGGGUCUGUCUCUCUUGAAACCAUCAUUCAGACUGUUCAUUUUAUAGCAACACAUUGUGAGAUAUGGCUUUUUCUUUGCAACUCUGCCUUGAACAAGAACAAGAAUAAGGGUUUUGUAACGAAUCUCUUCGUCGUCUGAGGAGGAGUAGGAAGGAUCAGACCCAUAUGCAGCGUGAUCCAGUCAUUAAUAAAUCAAUGUAUGGAUCACCUCCAAUUGAAAGGAAAUAAACUGGAUCUCCACCGCAGCAGUUUUACCUUGGAUUGAGCAAAGAUUUCUUCAACUUUUCUGAGAACUAUUUGAAGAGGCAUGACUAAUUCCGAUCCAGAAAUGAAAGACCAAACCACAUCCUCCUUUGUCGUCUUGACUGUCUUCUUCAUCCUGGUCACCCUCGUUGUCGUCCUGGUCGUCCUGUACAUGUGGCUAAACCGCCAGACUAAUGGCCAGUACACAGUCCACCAACUGGUCCUUGGGGAGGGUGGGGCCAGGGACCGGGUGAGGGGUGGGGUCCAAGUCCUAGAGGUGUGGUUCAGGCGUCGCCUUUGGCCUCUCAGUGAGGAUGAGGAGACUGUAGGAGAGGAGGAACAGAGAGACAAAGAGGAGGAUGUAGAGAGAGUGAGUGAGGGAGGGGAAAGCAAGGGGGAGGGGAAGAAGGAGGAGGGGGAUGAGAGGGAGGGCCGAGUGGAUGACUCUUCGGAUGAGUACUCCAGUGAGGAGGACUGUGGCCUGACGGAGAGUGUGAAGGUCAUGGACGAGAAGAAGGAGAGGAGAGAGUGUGAGGGGAAGCGAGAGGAGAAUAUGGAAGAAAAUGGGGAUAGCAAAGGUGAUGAGGGAGCAGUGGGAGGAGAAGAAAGUGGACAGGGAGGUUUGCUGAUACACCUGCAUCAGUCCUCUGGUAGUGCUAUCUGGUCUGAAGAUUAUGAGGGAGGCAAAGACAACAAUCAUGUGACUGCAUUGUGAGGAAAGGAUCAGAAAGGGGAAAGAGUUCCAUUAAUACAUUUUUGUACAGUAAUAGCGCUUGACAGAACAUUGGCUACUUGUCAUCAUCACCAUCAUUGUCAUAAUUGUCAUAAUUGUAAACCUUACAAACCAGUGUUAUAACAAUCAAGGCAGAAAACAACAGAGUGUACUAAAUCAAUCCAAUCAUCAAAGUGACUGACAAGAGCAACAAUUGCAGCUUGAAUACAUGAAGCUAUAUAAAUGUAUUUUAGAUAUAAAAUAUAAUUUUUAAACGGUAUCAAAGUUUCAUGGGUUUCAAAGUUUUGGGGUUUGCACUGUUGCUAUGAGAUAAUUUGUAUUGUAAAUAUUUGUGUUCUGUAUAUUUUAUGAAUUUAAUAGCUAUUUAGAUCCUUCUUCCUGGAGAUCUACUGUCCUGUAGGUUUUCAGUCUAAUCCUAAUUUAGCAUAUCUGAUUCAGCUAGUUAAGGUAUUGUUGAGCAGCUAAUUCGUAGAAUCAGGUCUGUUAAAUUAGGGUUGGACUGAAAACCCACAGGAAGGUAGAUCUCCAGGAAGAGGGUUGUGCAGCCCUGGCCUAUGGCUUGACUUUGUGCUAUACUGUUUCAUGUCUUAUGUGCAUGAUGUUUAUUUCCAGAGUGACAAUUUUAUACUUUUUAUUAUCUGAUACAACUUAAAGGCCCAGUGCAGUCAAAAUUAUGUUUUGUCUCAUGUUGUACAGCAACUCAUGGAACAAACACUGUAAAAGUGUGAAAAGAUUUGAUCAGUGUUAUUCCUGAUAGUUGCUGGUGGAAAAUACAAUCUACACAGGGCCUUUACAUUUUUAUUUUUGAUGAGAGACUGUUACAGAGGAGUGUAAAUGUUUUUUAAGGCUGGAACAUGUUGUUGAAUCGUAUUGUUGUAUGUUGUAAUUCUGUAAUGUAUUGAUUGUUGUUGCCUUUUUGGCCAGGUCUCCAUUGAAAAAGAGGGUCUUAAUGUGCUUUUCCUGGUUAAAUGAAGGUUAAGAACAUUUUUUUAAAUCAGCAGGUUUGCAUGGCAUUCCCCUCCCACUCAGACCACUUCCUGACAGUCCUAGCAAAAUUCUUGCCUGAGAAUUUUUUGUUGUUGCAAAAAGGCUAUUGUUGUCCAUUUUAAUGAAAAACUAUUAUAGUAAGGUUCUUAAUUGUUACCCAGAAGUAAUUUGAUAUUGAUAUAAAAACGGUUGCAUGAGGCUUUUAAGUGUUUGCGCUGAUGUGAUUAUAUUGUCUGUUUCCUUUUCUUAAAACUGCAUUGUUGGUUAAGGGCUUGUAAGCAAGCAAUUCACUGUUGUAUUCGGCGCAUGUGAUAAAUAAUAUUUGAUUUGAUUUAAUUUGAUUGAUAGUUUUUUGUUGAAAUAAAAAAAAUAUUUUCUAAAUGAUUAUUA
ensembl:lncRNA